GAGGAAGGUGGGGAUGACGUCAAAUCAGCACGGCCCUUACGUCCGGGGCUACACACGUGUUACAAUGGGGGGGUACAGAGGGCCGCUACCACGCGAGUGGAUGCCAAUCCCCAAAACCUCUCUCAGUUCGGACUGGAGUCUGCAACCCGACUCCACGAAGCUGGAUUCGCUAGUAAUCGCGCAUCAGCCACGGCGCGGUGUAUACGUUCCCGGGCCUUGUACACACCGCCCGUCAAGCCAUGGGAGCCGGGGGUACCUGAAGUGCGUAACCGCGAGGAGCGCCCUAGGGUAAAACUGGUG
rnacentral:rRNA from 1 species